rnacentral:misc_RNA from 1 species
GCGACGACUCUUUUCGUGUUUGCUCCAUUGGUGAGCUUUAAGCGUCUGGAUUCAUUGAGAUACACCUCUGCCCUAUCGGUUGCUCUUGCUGUGGUUUUUGUCGUCAUUACUGCUGGAAUUGCUAUCAUCAAACUCUUCAAUGGAACUGUAGCGAUGCCCAAACUUUUUCCAGAACUAGAUGGUCUUAGUUCCAUCUGGAAGCUCUUCACAGCUGUCCCUGUUCUUGUCACUGCCUACAUCUGCCAUUACAAUGUUCACAGCAUUGACAAUGAGCUUGAAGACAGAACACAAAUUAAACCUAUUGUGCGAACAUCCCUGUUCCUCUGCUCCAGUGUUUACAUUGCUACAAGUUUCUUUGCAUAUCUCCUCUUCGGCGAGGGUACCCUAGAUGAUGUUCUCGCUAACUUCGAUGCAAAUCUUGGGAUUCCAUUUAGUUCCGUCUUUGAUGAUAUAGUGCGAGUGAGCUAUGCUGCUCACGUUAUGCUUGUCUUUCCCAUAGUCUUCUUUGCCCUUAGGCUCAACUUGGAUGGACUGCUCUU